CUUAUACUCAUCUUCUAUUGCCUCUAGAUUGGGCAGAACUGGCAGCUUCUUGGUGAGAAAUAGGAGUGAUGACCAUAGCUGUCUCUUCAUCUUAUUCCUGCUUCCUCCUGGCCCAGAUCCAAGCUAAGAAUACACUUCAUGGUGCUACCAGAAUGACAUGGCUUCCUUUGCCCCUGCAAGAGCUUUUUUUUUUUUCUUUUUUUUUUUUAUCUUAACCUACAAAAUAAAAUAAAAGCAACAGAGCUUUCA